rnacentral:lncRNA from 1 species
GGCCACUCCCCGUGCCUGCCUUGGCGCGCGGCGCGGGGCGAUGACGCCACUUCCGGCCUUUCGAACCGCCAUGGCGGGAGCGGGUGGCGGGCGGCGCUCGGCGGGGGCGACCCCGACGGGGACUCGGGGCAGCUCCCUGCGCUCGGCGGUCUCGGAACCGCGGGGGGGCCGGAACCCCCGGAACCGCAGCCCCGUGAGUGGGGGGGGGGGGGCCGGUGGGGUCACCAAGGGGUGGGGGAGGGUCCCGGGGGGGUCCAGAGAGCGUGAGGAGCCCCAGGAGUUGAGGGGGGGGGCCGGGGGGUCACCAAGGGGGUGGAGGAGGGUCCCGGGGGGGUCCUGGGGCUGGGGGGGCCCUGGGGGGUCCCAGGCAGGGGGUUGGGGGGGGUCUCGGGGCUGGGGGGCAACUCUCAGACCCUUCCCCUCCCCACAGGACUUUGAGCGACCCCGACGGAGCCCCCGGGUGAGUUGGGGGAGGGGCGAGGGGGUGGUGAGGGGGGGUCCUGGUGAUCCCGGGACCCCUCCCCACACUGACCCCCCAUCCCCCCCGCCCCUCCUCCACAGCUGCAGAGCCAGAAGGAGAACGGCCCCUCCCCCUCCUGUGCCCCCUCCCCCUCCUGUGCUGCCCCCCCUGCCCCCCCCACCUCCCCCUCCCUCCCCCCCCCCGUGUCCGUCGCUCCUACAGCCGCCUGGAGGGGGGGGCCGGGGGGCUCAGCCCGCGGGGGGGGCUCCCCCUGAGCCCCCUCCCCCUCAAUGUGCCCCUCCCCCGAGCCCCUCCCCCUGCCACCCCCCAGAUCCCCCCCUCGGCCUCCCUGGCAUCGGCCCCGCCCCCCCCGAGCGCAGGAGGAAGAGGAAGGUGACGCCCAUUGACGUGUCGGAGCUCGAGGCCUGGGCCGCCUCCAUGAACGCGCUGUUCGAGGAGGCCGAGCGCUUCCACCUGGUCGUGGAGUGA